GGAGUGGUGGCCGAGUGGCUUAAGGCGUGCGCCUGCUAAGCGUAUGGGGGGCAACCCCCGCGUGGGUUCGAAUCCCACCCACUCCGCCA
rnacentral:tRNA from 1 species